rnacentral:misc_RNA from 1 species
GAUGAAGAACGUAGCGAAAUGCGAUAAGUAAUGUGAAUUGCAGAAUUCAGUGAAUCAUCGAAUCUUUGAACGCACAUUGCGUCCGCCAGUAUUCUGGCGGGCAUGCCUGUUCGAGCGUCAUUUCAACCAUCAAGCCCCCGGCUUGUGUUGGGGACCUGCGGCUGCCGCAGGCCCUGAAAAGCAGUGGCGGGCUCGCUGUCACACCGAGCGUAGUAGCAUACAUCUCGCUCUGGGCGUGCUGCGGGUUCCGGCCGUUAAACCACCUUCAUAACCCAAGGUUGACCUCGGAUCAGGUAGGAAGACCCGCUGAACUUAAGCAUAUCAAUAAGCGGAGGA